GCUCCUGGAUUCAGCGGCGGACGGGUGAGUAAUGCCUAGGAAUCUGCCUGGUAGUGGGGGAUAACGUCCGGAAACGGGCGCUAAUACCGCAUACGUCCUGAGGGAGAAAGUGGGGGAUCUUCGGACCUCACGCUAUCAGAUGAGCCUAGGUCGGAUUAGCUAGUUGGUGGGGUAAAGGCCUACCAAGGCGACGAUCCGUAACUGGUCUGAGAGGAUGAUCAGUCACACUGGAACUGAGACACGGUCCAGACUCCUACGGGAGGCAGCAGUGGGGAAUAUUGGACAAUGGGCGAAAGCCUGAUCCAGCCAUGCCGCGUGUGUGAAGAAGGUCUUCGGAUUGUAAAGCACUUUAAGUUGGGAGGAAGGGCAGUAAGUUAAUACCUUGCUGUUUUGACGUUACCAACAGAAUAAGCACCGGCUAACUUCGUGCCAGCAGCCGCGGUAAUACGAAGGGUGCAAGCGUUAAUCGGAAUUACUGGGCGUAAAGCGCGCGUAGGUGGUUCAGCAAGUUGGAUGUGAAAUCCCCGGGCUCAACCUGGGAACUGCAUCCAAAACUACUGAGCUAGAGUACGGUAGAGGGUGGUGGAAUUUCCUGUGUAGCGGUGAAAUGCGUAGAUAUAGGAAGGAACACCAGUGGCGAAGGCGACCACCUGGACUGAUACUGACACUGAGGUGCGAAAGCGUGGGGAGCAAACAGGAUUAGAUCCCCUGGUAGUCCACGCCGUAAACGAUGUCGACUAGCCGUUGGGAUCCUUGAGAUCUUAGUGGCGCAGCUAACGC
rnacentral:rRNA from 1 species